GCCCGCAUAGCUCAGUCGGCAGAGCAUCAGACUUUUAAUCGCUAAGGUAGCAAGUGAUCUGAGGGUCGUGGGUUCAAGUCCCCCUGCGGGCG
rnacentral:tRNA from 1 species